rnacentral:rRNA from 1 species
GUCUUUUUGAGUAUAAUUUAAAGUCUAAUCUGCCCACUGAAAAUUUUAAAUGGCCGCGGUAUUUUGACCGUGCAAAGGUAGCAUAAUAAUUAGUUUUUUAAUUGAAAGCUGGUAUGAAUGAUUGAAUGAGAAAAUAGCUGUCUCAAUUUAAUUUUAAUAUAAUUUUAUUUUUAAGUUAAAAAGCUUAAAUUUAUUUAAAAGACGAGAAGACCCUAUAGAGUUUUAUAUUUUAUUAAUAAAUUUUUAUGAAGAUUUAAAUUUGAAUUUUUUAAUAAAUUAUUUUGUUGGGGUGACAGAAAAAUUAAAUAAACUUUUUUUUUAUUAUAACAUUGUUUUAUGAAUUUAUGAUCCAAUAAUUUUGAUUAGAAGAUAAAAUUACCUUAGGGAUAACAGCGUAAUUUUUUUUGAGAGUUCUUAUCGAAAAAAAAGAUUGCGACCUCGAUGUUGGAUUAAAAUUUACUUUUGGUGUAGAAGCUAAAACGUUAGGUCUGUUCGACCUUUAAAAUUUUACA